rnacentral:tRNA from 2 species
GGCCGUGUAGUUUAGUGGUAAAACAAGCUCCCGAUAAGAGUUGUAGCGGUUGUUCGAUUCAAUCCUCGGCCACCA